rnacentral:tRNA from 1 species
GCCUUCGCAGUGUAAUGGUCAGCGCACUGGGCGCGUAUUCAAGAGGUCUGAGGUUCAAGUCCCAGUGAAGGCA